AAGAAAAGCACCUUUAUCUUAUUGUGCUAGCGUGAUGAGCGGCCAAAUGUCCAGGAUAAACAUGUGAAGAUCUUAAGCAUGUCACAAUGCUAAUGUCUAACGACACCUAUUAAUUCAACUGAUCAAGUAGUUUCUUUUGGUUUUUGCCACUUCUUGGAAUGAGCACGAGGCCUCCCUAAAGCAGAAUUGGUAUCAUUUUGUAAUCUCAUCUUAUUUUAAGUUGUCAUCAAGAAGAAUUUGGCUGGUAAAGCUUAAAACUCUGGGUGAUAUAUUGAAGGUUAGUAAAAGAAGUGCUGUUGUGGGAUGUUAUCUGCUUUUAUGAAUUGAAUGUGUUUGGUGGUUACUUGUUGAUAAUCUAUGCUCAAUUCGUCGACUAUUGUGCAUCUGAUUGACUAGCUACUGCUAACAUUUCCAAACUUAAAGUUAGCUUGGCCAGGCGAUCAUCCAAAUCUCUAGUUUUUCGAUUAUCAUUUUAUUGCUCAUUUUAGAAUUUAGCUUUCCACUUGUGUCUAACGUCUGUUUAACUAGGAUCUUUGACCAAGCAACACUAGGACUUUGUCUACUGGUGUGGUUUACCAAUUCAUCUCCUAAUGUGCUGUCCGGGUUGUUUCAGAAUCAGAAACUUGAAUUUUGCAUUGCAAGUAGGCAUAUUUUGUUAGAUUAGUGUGUGUUAAUACUUACUAAUAGUUGUCAUUUUACUGAAGGAUAGAUGACUUUCUAAAAGUCUGCACAAAUUUAUUCCCACAAAAUGAAGAUAUAUCUUUUUGGACAACAAAUCCAUGCCUUAAUGCCCUUGAUUUAGAUUGCUGGGAGAACCCCAAGAGCUCCCCAAAUUGUGAGCAUACUUAAGUGUCUGUUGUAUUUCAAAACAUGGCAUGUUUUGCAUUCUGAUUCCAGGCACAACGCCUGUGAAAAUUUUGUCUUGGUUUUAGCUUCUAAAAAAGUUACUACUAGGGAAGCAGUAAGUACUGUAUAUAAUAUUUAGGACAAUUUAUUUAAAACAUUCAACUGUUUUCACAUGCAGUCUCAAUGAAACAGGAGAUUGACAUGAAUAAUAUUACAAAAUUGUAACUGGAUAAACCUCUGAAACUCAAAUUCCACUUCAAACUUGCUUAUAUCCAAAUAUGGUGUUAGUCUCAAUCAGAUAUUUGACGUCCAUUCAGUGCAUCUUCAAAACGACUGCAAGAAUCUGCUCUCAUCUCUGUACUCAUAUCGUUUUCAGGAGCUGGAUAAUAAUCUUCUCUAAGUUGAACAUCCCUCAAGUCUGGUAUUCUGAGUAGGAAGUUCAUAAAAUGUUCAUGAGCUGUCCCGUGGAUAA
rnacentral:lncRNA from 1 species